rnacentral:rRNA from 1 species
CCUACGGGAGGCAGCAGUGGGGAAUAUUGCACAAUGGGGGAAACCCUGAUGCAGCAACGCCGCGUGAGUGAAGAAGGUCUUCGGAUUGUAAAGCUCUUUGAUCAGGGACGAACAGAUGACGGUACCUGAAGAACAAGCACCGGCUAACUACGUGCCAGCAGCCGCGGUAAAACGUAGGGGGCGAGCGUUGUCCGGAAUGACUGGGCGUAAAGGGUGCGUAGGCGGCAUAAUAAGUUAGAAGGGAAAUACCCAGGGCUUAACUCGGGUGCUGCUUCUAAGACGGUUGAUCUUGAGUGCGGGAGAGGUUAAUGGAAUUCCUAGUGUAGCGGUGGAAUGCGUAGAUAUUAGGAGGAACACCAGAGGCGAAGGCGAUUAACUGGACCGUAACUGACGCUGAGGCACGAAAGUGUGGGUAGCAAACAGGAUUAGAUACCCGAGUAGUC